AUGGCGGACGACCCCAGUGCUGCCGACAGGAACGUGGAGAUCUGGAAGAUCAAGAAGCUCAUUAAGAGCUUGGAGGUAGCCCGCGGCAGUGGCACCAGCAUGAUAUCCUUGAUUAUUCCUCCCAAAGACCAGAUUUCACGAGUGGCAAAAUUGUUGGCAGAUGAGUUUGGAACUGCAUCUAACAUUAACUCAUGAGUAAACCGCCUUUCAGUCCUGGGAGCCAUUACAUCUGUACAACAAAGACUCAAACUUUAUAACAAAGUACCUCCAAAUGGUCUGGUUGUUUACUAUGGAACAAUUGUAACAGAAGAAGGAAAGGAAAAGAAAGUCAACAUUGACUUUGAACCUUUCGAACCAGUUAAUACAUCAUUGUAUUUGUGUGACAACAAAUUCCAUACAGACGCUCUUAUAGCACUACUUUCAGAUGAUAGCAAGUUUGGAUUCAUUGUAAUAGAUGGUAGUGGUGCACUUUUUGGCACACUCCAAGGAAACACAAGAGAAGUCCUGCACAAAUUCACUGUGGAUCUCCCAAAGAAACAUGGUAGAGGAGGUCACUUAGAUUUGCGUUUUGCCCGUUUAAGAAUGGAAAAGCAACAUAACUAUGUUCGGAAAGUAGCAGAAACCGCUGUGCAGCUGUUUAUUUCUGGGGACAAAGUGAAUGCGGCUGGUCUAGUUUUAGCUGGAUCUGCUGACUUUAAAACUGAACUAAGUCAAUCUGAUAUGUUUGAUCAGAGGUUACAGCCAAAAGUUUUAAAAUUAGUUGAUAUAUCCUAUGGUGGUGAAAAUGGAUUCAGCCAAGCUAUUGAGUUAUCUACUGAAGUCCUCUCCAACGUGAAAUUCAUUCAAGAGAAGAAAUUAAUAGGAUGA